rnacentral:lncRNA from 1 species
UUCAUAACACCGAGGAUUUGGUGCCAUCGAGUUUUCCACCGUUAGAUUUAAUCCUUUGAUUAUUUUUACCUGUUAGAUUAUACUAUUCAACUAACCACUCACUCAACCAUACGGGGCCCACAUCAUCCUAACCAUCCAUUUCUCAAUCCAAGGACAAAAAAAUCAAUAGCACCAAUAGCUUAGUGCUAUUGAUAGUAUUCCAGCCUAGUUAUAUAUAUAUAUA